UCUUAGGCAAUUUAUCAAGCACGUAAUAUGCAUAAAUUUUGUGUGUUUAAAAUCCAACUCAUUGUUGUAAAAUCAUCAACAACCUGAUAUAUAUGUUCAACUCAUCUCACAAACAACAAUCAUUAACGCAUGUAAUGUGUAUAAAUCUGACGUCUAGAACCUUGUUUUUUUAUUGUCUCUCUGUAUUUGAAGGAAUUUAUAUUACCAGGGAGGGGCCUUUUGUUUUAGAAAUAAGAAGAAUAGUACCAGGAAGAGAAACAUGAUCCCAUAUUGAAUAAGAGAAAGGACUUUAAUUGUCUCUUGCGCUUUCGUGGCCAGAUCAGGGGCGUUCAUCCUCGUUUGCAUGUCUCCCGUCCGAUCGUCUUCUCUGGUCCUCCGUGGCUCGAUCAAAGCCGUUUUCUUGCACUCUAUUCUGCGUGACUACGUGGCCCGAUAGGUGGCCCCCUCUGAUUGGUUCACCCUGACCCUUCACCUGCGAAGAUGAAAAAACUCUUGAAAAUUAAUGUCAAUCAAGGUGAGUCAGUUUAAAUUUGGUGGUCAAUUUGUCCCACCAGUUGGUUUGACU
rnacentral:lncRNA from 1 species